rnacentral:rRNA from 1 species
ACGAACGCUGGCGGCGUGUGCCUAACACAUGCAAGUCGUACGGGAUUUGGGGGGCACUCCAAGUUCAGUGGCAGACGGGUGCGUAACACGUGAAGAACUUGUCCGGUGGGUCCGGGGGGAUAGCCGGCCCAACGGCGGGUAAUACCGCAUACGCUCGCGUGACGGCAUCGGUUGCGCGAGGAAAGCAGCCGCAAGGGUUGCGCCGACGGAGAGCUUCGCGGCCUAUCAGCUAGUUGGCGGGGUAAUGGCCCACCAAGGCGACGACGGGUAGCUGGUCUGAGAGGAUGAUCAGCCACAUUGGGAUGAGACACGGCCCAGACUCCUACGGGAGGCAGCAGUGGGGAAUAUUUGCGCAAUGGCCGCAAGGCUGACGCAGCGACCGCCGCGUGUGGGAUGACGGUCUUCGGAUUGUAACCACUGUCAGGGGGAACGAAUACCGGGCGACGAAUAGCCGACCCGGGGUGACGGUACCUCCAAAGGAAGCACCGGCUAACUCCGUGCCAGCAGCCGCCUGGUAAUACGGAGGGUGCGAGCGGUUUGUCCGGAUCACUGGGCGUAAAGGGCGCGUAGGUGGUUCGAUAAGUCGCUGGUGAAAUUCCGGGGCUCAACUCCGGAGCUGCCGGCGAGACUGUCGGACUCAAGCACGGGUAGGGGCAGAUGGAAUUCCCGGUGUAGCGGAUGGAAUGCGUAGAAUAUCGGGAAGAAUAACAGUGGCGAAGGCGUUCUGCUGGGCCGUUGCUGACACUGAGGCGCGACAGCGUGGGGAGCAAACAGGAUUAGAUACGCCUGGUAGUCACGCCGUAAACCGAUGGACACUAGCGUGGGGGGAGCGACUCUCCCGGUGCCGUCGCUACGCAGUAAGUGUCCCGCCUGGGGAGUACGGCCGCAAGGCUGAAACUCAAAGGAAUUGACGGGGGCCCGCAAAAGCGUGGAGCUGGAGUGGUUUAAUUCGAAGCAACGCGAAGAACCUUACCUGGGCUUGACAUGCUGGUGAAAGCCGGUGGAAACAUCGGCCCUCUUCGGAGCGCCAGCACAGGUGCGCAUGGCUGUCGUCAGCUCGUGUAGUGAGAUGUUGGGUUAAGUCGCCGCAACGAGCGCAACUCUCGCUCCCAGUUGCCAGCGGUUCGGCCGGGGACUCUGGGGACUGCCGGCGUUAAGCCGGAGGAAGGUGGGGGACGACGUCAAGUCUAUCAUGGCCCUUACGUCCAGGGCUGACACACGUGCUACAAUGCCCCGAGUACAGCGCGUCGCGAACCCGCGAGGGGGGAGCCAAUCGCUAAAAGCCGGGCUAAGUUCGGAUUGGAGUCUGCAACUCGAGCUCAUGAAGCCUGAAUCGCUAGUAAUCGCGGAUCAGCCACGCCGCGGUGAAUACGUUCCCGGGCCUUGUACACACCGCCCGUCACGCCAUGGAAGCCGGAGGGACCCGAAACCGGUGGGCCAACCGCAAGGGGGCAGCCGUCUAAGGUCAAUUCGGUGACUGGGGCG